UCUCCUUUCUCUCUCUAAAACUCAUUUUCCCAAAUUCUUUUAUGCCUUCUCUCUAGCCUCCACACUGAUUUAGUCAUUGCAUGUUCUGUUAGGUGGUACCCUAGCGACCGUCUCGUAGAGAGCUUCAAAACCAUCCGAUUGGUUUUACGUUCUUCAGCCGGGCACUGCUUAAGUUCUUCCUAGGGUAGGAUACUGUUGAAAGUUGUGUUGUGUGCUAGACUGCUCAACUUCAAGAGGGAGAUAAGACAUCUGUGGAGUAGGAGCUAGAGGGUGCCAAUGGUGUUGAGUAGCCUAGGAACUUAUAGAUUUAC